rnacentral:misc_RNA from 1 species
UUAUAAAAUAAAUAUUCCUUCUCUGUUUUAUUUUUGUGUUAGUGAAUGGAUGUGAUAAAAUAUGUCUGCCAAAUCAAUAAAUGAUUUUCUAAUACGUAUGUUUGUGUGUGUUGUGUUUUUCUUGUUAUUUUCCACUGUCAAUACUAUUUCUUCUGAAAAAUGUCAUCAAUAUCGUAUAAACCAUACUACAAUAGACAAUAAAUUAGCUUUGAGUCCAGUUGUAUUUCAGGGACGUUUGACUUCUAUGAGUACGCCAGUAAAUGAUUUGCAUUUUGUGUCACUGCGUGUACUCAAGGUUAUCAAAGGGAAAUUGAGUAAGAGACUACGAAAACAGAUUCGUCUUCUAUUUUCAUUAGGAAAAAGGAAAAGACAAUUUGUUAAUAGAAAUAAGGAGUGUAAAGAUCCUCCCAUCUUUAAUCCUAAAUCGUCGAGAAAGAAGUACAUUUUUUUCGUUCAAAAGAUAAAACCUGGAAGCUAUGUUGCAUUAGCCGAACCUGAGAUUUUUAAUCGUAAAGUUAGAAGAAAUAUUAGGAAGAUUCUCUGCAAUAAUUGUUUUAAAAGGCCAUAUGUUAAAGCGAUUAUUUCUAAUUCGGGGCAUGAAAUAAAGGAAAGUGGUCAAGUAAAACUAAAAUGUAUUCUAUCUCAGACUGGAGUUCCUUCUUCUACAAUAUCAUGGACUUUAAACAAUCGUAAGCUAAUGCAAACAAUUCGGCACAACAUCCGAACAAAGAAAAAAAGAUCUAUUCUCAGGAUUCAAGGUAUGCUGAAAUCUGAUUCUGGAGAAUAUAAAUGCAAAGUGCAUAAUAUAAUUGGAUCAUCGAGUGCGUCAUGGCAAUUAACAGUCAAAUCAUCAAAAGCUAGCCCGUCACAUCAAGUAUCAGAAUGCCCAAUAGAGUCAUUUUGUCUUAAUCGAGGGACAUGCUUAUUUUAUGAAAUGAUCGGUGAACUAGUAUGCAAGCAAAUGUAAAGAAGGAUAUGCGGGACAAAGAUGUCAAUUUAAAAAAGCAAAAAUUACCCUUCCGUUUGAUGAAAAUAAACACUCAUGUGGUCUUUACAGCCAUGAUUAUCAUCUGCGUGAGAUAUGCGCUGUAUGGAGAAAAUCGCCAGACAUGAAAGAAAUGACGUAUGAUGAAUAUCUAGAAUGGCAACGAGUUGAAAAAGAACUAAAAAGUUUAAGGAAAAAAAGGAACAAGAAAAAAUACAUCAACUUCAACAGCCAGGAUUAAAAAAAAAUCAUAAUUUAAUACAUUACAGAUAAUAUAUUUGUUUUAUGAACAACAUUGAAAUUACUUUAUAUACACAAACAUUAAGUCAACCGUCCGAUCUCUAAAAUAUUCGUUUAUAAUGUAUUAUGGCAUUUAAAAUGUUCAAUUAUUUUAUAAAAUUUAUAUGCAUUGUAUUCACACUUAUUUAGCUUUUUGAUACAUUUGUAUAAGCACUCAAUUAGUUAUGUAUCAAAAAAAUUUAAAAAUGAGCUUUGAAAAAACUUGUAUUAUUUUAGUUUAAAAGUUUAGCAAAACUUUUUUCUCUAGACGAUACACAUAUGAAAUAUUAAUAUACAAAAAAUAUAGUUACACUCUAUAAAUUCAUUUGAUAUUGAAAAGAAUAUAUUACAAAUGAAGUUAAAAUUAAUUCAAACUAUAUUAUAUAGUAUGAUUUGAUAUUAUUGUCCACCAUACAAUUGUUCAAUGAAUUUUUUAAGUGUAAACAGCGUGAUUUUGAACGUCAGUUAUAGAAGAGCAAAAUACUUUUUUUGGGUUUCAUAUUCCUCGAAAUAACUUAAAAGACAGGGACAAGAACAAAAUAGACAAGUAUUAGUCUUAUAAAAGCAGUUGGAGAAAUAUACAAAGAAAUCCUCCCCAAUCCUAGGAGAGAAAUAGUUUUUCUUUAUUUGCUCCCUCUACUAAAUUUUUUAUUAUAUUUUGUAAGCUUGAGGAUAAUUGAAAAUUUACAAUAGUAAGAUGAGAUUUGCUGAGAGAUGGAUGAUCCCCUGUCUUUUCAAAAGUAAUACCAUUCACUUGUCUUUCUUACUUAUAUCAACUGACCUUUAUAAUGUUAGGUACCUAUAAUUUGUAUAUGAAGAUAUUCUCGAAGCUGUACAAAGCUUAAGAUAAGGAUAAGAUUCCAGUUGUUCUCCUGGCCCUUUAAAUCCAAAUUCAUUUAUGUACUAUGUGGUCUGUUAAUGCCUAUAAUUGGAAUCCUUCUUUUAGUUAACUCUCAACUUUCAAUGUCUACACUCACAUACAUCCUGCUCCGCUACCUUAUGCUUCCCAUUGAUAACAGUGUUACACUAUAAAUUCAGUGUUUAAUGAGAAGCUAUAUUGCAUCAGAACCAACAAUAAACUAGAAUAAUUUUAUUACAACAAUUAUUACUACUAUUUAUUUUUAGAAAAUACAAAUAUAAUACACACAUGAUAUUUAA